GAACACUCUUAAUGUCUGCUUCUAAUCUAGAGAUUAGUUGGCAGGUUUGCCCUUUCUCUUGCAAAGUAUCUGUUCUUAUGGGAAACCAGUACCAACACAUAUUGAGAAAAUUUUUGUCUUAUUAAAGGUUGUUCACUGAUAUUUGGAAGAUCCUGAAGCAACCUACCACAUUAUUACAGGCAAAUUCUAAAUUUACUCAGAGAGAAAUAAUGUUUUGAAGAGUUCUCCAGAAUCAUAAGGGAUUAUACGAUUGAAGUGAACAUCUUUGUCAUGGAAAUAGUCUAUGACUCACUCUUUUUGUUGCUUUGAAGAAACUUUGAGUGGUCCCUGUCCCAGAGCUGGAAUUUUAAAAGGAAAUCAGUUGCCAUAUUUCCAGAGAAGAUGGGGGAAAGGCUUUGUUACCUUAAAAAAAUGCAGUAAAUUGGGAUCAGAGUUCUCAUUUGGGGCAGGCUGAGAAGUGCCUAUCAUUGCAGCCAGUCAAGGCUGCAUAGUCUGGGAGGAAACAAAAGCAGAGAAUGGCACAGGUUCUGAGAUAAAACCUUCCAGAUGAGGUGAGUAAGAUAGACCAUCUACUUGUCCUGGGGAGCUGGAAUGACUUCCAGAAGUCUGUAGGCAGAGUGAAUCAAAGAAGUCCACCCAUGGGCAGGAGGCCUGGCCAUGAGUUUGGAAUCAGGUUAUCAGGCUCCAGCCCAUAGGGGACAGCUGCUGAUCCUAAAUUUUUAACGUAAGGAUUUGGUGGUAGAACAAGAGUUGAAGCUUAGAUGUUCAGCCUGGGCCAACUGUGGAGCCCAAGUCUUGAGAAUGAGAAGAAAGUCCACUUAUCCACAAAGCAGAGAAAGAAGUGGGAAGAAAAAAGAUAGGAACUUCCAAUUUUUCUUACUUUCUGUGAGAUCUCACCCAGGUCACUUAUUUCCACUGAAACUCCAUCUAUUCUUCUACUAUAUAGCAAUGGUAACCAGGUCAACUUGAAGAAUAAUAAGGUCUACUCCAAAGUAGGGGUUAGAAAGCUGUAAAUAACAUAGCUGAAAGCACUUUAAUUACAACAAACCAGGACACAGUUACUGUCCAUAGUAAGAUUAUAAGAUUAGUAAACAUUAUCUUCCAAAUACUUUACUCUUUUUCUUUCUUUAUUUAAAAAAAAUUAUAUAUGACAGUGGAAUGCAUUAAAAUUCUUAUUACACAUAUAUAGCACAAUUUUUCAUAUCUUUGGUUGUGUACAUAUAUAUUCACACCAAUUCGUGUCUUUAUACCUGUACUUUGGAUAAUAAUGAUCAUCACAUUCCACCAUUGUUAAUAACCCCAUGCCCCCUCCCUUCCCCUUCCAUCCCUCUGCCCUAUCUAGAGUUUGUAGUUUACUCUUUACAGCAGAUAAUACUAUUAUUUUAUAAACAAAACCAGAAUGGCUUCUUGGUGCCAUUGUGUGUGUGUAUGUGUGUGUGUGUGUGUGUUUUGAGGUGUGUUGGGGGAGAUUAUCAGUAAUUUGUGUAAAACAUACUUAAUUUUUAGAGGAGGAGAGGACUCCAGGACAAGGAAAGUUUUAGGUUAUUCUUGCAGCUCACGCAAAAUUUCAACUACAAGGCAGCACAGGGGAGAAACAGAAUGACCUCAGUAGGAAGAAGAAUUUUUAUGCUGAGGCAAUUUCUCUCUAAACAGAGAGGACACGCAUCAAGAGAGGAGCUUUAUGGCCCGAGCUAGAGGAGCUGCAGGAGAGCAGAAAUCACUGAUCAGGUACAUCCAUCCUCACCUACCAGUGCCAUCACUGGGGCGGGUCUGAAGGACGUCACUGGGCAGGCAGAGUGCAGGUAGGCAUGACCCCAGGAGAGUGGGCAGAUUGCCAGGAGCUGCCCUUCCAGGAGAAUGCAAAGAAGACUGAGGGGGAUGGACUCAAAGAGGGUCUUUUGGGAUACUUGUAAGACAUUUAAAACUGGGGGAGUUGUGGGCUUUUGGGUUACUUCAAUUAGCCAAUGUUGCAUGAUGUUUGUCAUUUACUUUUCCUUCAAAAACUGAUUUUCCUUUUUUGGUUGCCAUGUGCCUAUAAUCUCUCCUUGGUUUAUAUUGAUUUGACUGUACAAAGAAGAGGUUUCCAUGGGUCUUUGGAUAUGUCGAAGCCAAAAGAUAUG
rnacentral:lncRNA from 1 species